rnacentral:rRNA from 1 species
AGUUUGAUCAUGGCUCAGAACGUACGCUGGCGGCACGCCUAACACAUGCAAGUCGAACGAAGUAGCAAUACUUAGUGGCAGACGGGUGAGUAACAUGUGGGUAUCUGCCCUUUGGCCUGGAAUAACACGAGGAAACUUGUGCUAAUACCGGAUAAGUCUUUACGGAGAAAGCUUUAUGCACCAUUGGAUGAGCCCGCACUUGAUUAGUUUGUUGGUGGGGUAAUGGCCUACCAAGACUGUGAUCAAUAGCUGAUUUGAGAGGAUGAUCAGCCACAUUGGGACUGAGACACGGCCCAAACUCCUACGGGAGGCAGCAGUGGGGAAUCUUGCACAAUGGAGGAAACUCUGAUGCAGCGAUGCCGCGUGAGUGAAGAAGGCCCUUGGGUUGUAAAGCUCUUUCGUCGGGGAAGAAAAUGACUGUACCCGAAUAAGAAGGUCCGGCUAACUUCGUGCCAGCAGCCGCGGUAAUACGAAGGGACCUAGCGUAGUUCGGAAUUACUGGGCUUAAAGAGUUCGUAGGUGGUUGAAAAAGUUAGUGGUGAAAUCCCAGAGCUUAACUCUGGAACUGCCAUUAAAACUUUUCAGCUAGAGUAUGAUAGAGGAAAGCAGAAUUUCUAGUGUAGAGGUGAAAUUCGUAGAUAUUAGAAAGAAUACCAAUUGCGAAGGCAGCUUUCUGGAUCAUUACUGACACUGAGGAACGAAAGCAUGGGUAGCGAAGAGGAUUAGAUACCCUCGUAGUCCAUGCCGUAAACGAUGUGUGUUAGACGUUGGAAAUUUAUUUUCAGUGUCGCAGCGAAAGCGAUAAACACACCGCCUGGGGAGUACGACCGCAAGGUUAAAACUCAAAUGAAUUGACGGGGACCCGCACAAGUAGUGGAGCAUGUGGUUUAAUUCGAAGAUACGCGCAGAACCUUACCAACACUUGACAUGUUCGUCGCGACUCUAAGAGAUUAGAGUUUUCGGUUCGGCCGGACGAAACACAGGUGCUGCAUGGCUGUCGUCAGCUCGUGUCGUGAGAUGUUGGGUUAAGUCCCGCAACGAGCGCAACCCUCACUUUUAGUUGCCAUCAUUAAGUUGGGCACUCUGAAAGAACUGCCAGUGAUAAGCUGGAGGAAGGUGGGGAUGACGUCAAGUCCUCAUGGCCCUUACGUGUUGGGCUACACACGUGCUACAAUGGUAUCUACAACAGGAAGCAAGACUGCGAGGUCAAGCAAAUCCUUAAAAGAUACCUCAGUUCGGAUUGCACUCUGCAACUCGAGUGCAUGAAGCUGGAAUUACUAGUAAUCGUGGAUCAGCGUGCCACGGUGAAUGCGUUCCCGGGUCUUGUACACACCGCCCGUCACACCAUGGGAGUUGGUUCUACCUUAAGGCAAGGUUUCAAACCCUUGACCACGGUAUAGUCAGCGACUGGGGUGAAGUCGUAACAAGGUA